rnacentral:rRNA from 1 species
GUCCAGACUCCUACGGGAGGCAGCAGUGGGGAAUUUUGGACAAUGGGCGCAAGCCUGAUCCAGCUAUUCCGCGUGUGGGAUGACGGCCCUCGGGUUGUAAACCACUUUAGUAGAGAACGAAAAGGAGCUAUCGAAUAAAUAGCUCUGCUGACGGUACUCUAAGAAUAAGCACCGGCUAACUACGUGCCAGCAGCCGCGGUAAUACGUAGGGUGCGAGCGUUAUCCGGAUUUAUUGGGUUUAAAGGGUGCGUCGGCGGGAUGCCAAGUCAGCGGUAAAAAUGCGGUGCUCAACGCCGUCGAGCCGUUGAAACUGGCGUUCUUGAGUGGGCGAGAAGUAUGCGGAAUGCGUGGUGUAGCGGUGAAAUGCAUAGAUAUCACGCAGAACUCCGAUUGCGAAGGCAGCAUACCGGCGCCCUACUGACGCUGAGGCACGAAAGCGUGGGUAUCGAACAGGAUUAGAUACCCCCGUA